AUUGAACGCUGGCGGAAUGCUUUACACAUGCAAGUCGAACGGCAGCAUAGGUGCUUGCACCUGAUGGCGAGUGGCGAACGGGUGAGUAAUACAUCGGAACGUGCCCAGUCGUGGGGGAUAACGUAGCGAAAGUUACGCUAAUACCGCAUACGAUCUAGGGAUGAAAGCGGGGGACCGGAAGGCCUCGCGCGAUUGGAGCGGCCGAUGUCAGAUUAGGUAGUUGGUGAGGUAAAGGCUCACCAGGCCGACGAUCUGUAGCUGGUCUGAGAGGACGACCAGCCACACUGGGACUGAGACACGGCCCAGACUCCUACGGGAGGCAGCAGUGGGGAAUUUUGGACAAUGGACGCAAGUCUGAUCCAGCCAUUCCGCGUGCAGGACGAAGGCCUUCGGGUUGUAAACUGCUUUUGUACGGAACGAAAAAGCUCUUACUAAUACUAGGAGUCCAUGACGGUACCGUAAGAAUAAGCACCGGCUAACUACGUGCCAGCAGCCGCCGUAA
rnacentral:rRNA from 1 species